rnacentral:sRNA from 1 species
AGGGAUAUCGCUUCAGAGAGACACUCCGUAGGUCAGGCAAUCCCAAUUCGUAUGCAUAUCGCA